CCUACGGGUGGCAGCAGUCGAGAAUCAUUCACAAUGGGGGAAACCCUGAUGGUGCGACGCCGCGUGGGGGAAUGAAGGUCUUCGGAUUGUAAACCCCUGUCAUGUGGGAGCAAAUUAAAAAGAUAGUACCACAAGAGGAAGAGACGGCUAACUCUGUGCCAGCAGCCGCGGUCAUACAGAGGUCUCAAGCGUUGUUCGGAAUCACUGGGCGUAAAGCGUGCGUAGGCUGUUUCGGAAGUCAUGUGUGAAAAGGCCGGGCUCAAACCGCGGACGGCACAUGAUAAUGUGAGACUAGAGUAAAGGAGCGGGAAGCGGAAUGCUUGGUGUAGCAGUGAAAUGCGUAGAUAUCGAGAGGAACAC
rnacentral:rRNA from 1 species